GAGCAUAUGAACAAGCUUUACGUGAAGAGCAAACACUCGAGAGAGUAAACUGCAAGGCGACCGAAACAGGCGCUCUGCGUGAUCAGCAACAGCAUCCCCUAACUCAGAAAAUUCCGGACUGCGUGCUGCUUCAAUACUCUGAGGGCUCCAACGUUGUCCCCCAAGAAGAAUUUUCAACUGACCAAGAUCAUGCAGCCGCAUACAAUUCGCUAGACAGCGGGGAACAACAGAACCAGGACACGGCUGAGCCUCAACGAGCCCUGGAACAGCAGCAGCGCCAGCAACAGGGGGCAACACCUCCCCA